rnacentral:rRNA from 1 species
AAGCUUGCUUAAUAAACUAGUGGCGGACGGGUGAGUAACACGUGAGCAACCUGCCUUCAGAGAGGGAUAGCUUCUGGAAACGGAUGGUAAUACCUCAUAACAUAUUGAUACGGCAUCGUAUUGAUAUCAAAGAUUUAUCGCUGAAAGAUGGGCUCGCGUCUGAUUAGCUGGUUGGUGAGGUAACGGCCCACCAAGGCAACGAUCAGUAGCCGGACUGAGAGGUUGAACGGCCACAUUGGGACUGAGACACGGCCCAGACUCCUACGGGAGGCAGCAGUGGGGAAUAUUGCACAAUGGGCGCAAGCCUGAAUGCAGCGAUGCCGCGUGAGGGAAGAAGGUUUUCGGAUUGUAAACCUCUGUCAUCGGUGACGAAAAUGACGGUACCCGAGAAGGAAGCUCCGGCUAACUACGUGCCAGCCGCGGC